GAUAACCUACCUAUAAGACUGGGAUAACUUCGGGAAACCGGAGCUAAUACCGGAUAAUAUUUUGAACCGCAUGGUUCAAAAGUGAAAGACGGUCUUGCUGUCACUUAUAGAUGGAUCUUUGCUGCAUUAGCUAGUUGGUAAGGUAACGGCUUACCAAGGCAACGAUGCAUAGCCGACCUGAGAGGGUGAUCGGCCACACUGGAACUGAGACACGGUCCAGACUCCUACGGGAGGCAGCAGUAGGGAAUCUUCCGCAAUGGGCGAAAGCCUGACGGAGCAACGCCGCGUGAGUGAUGAAGGUCUUCGGAUCGUAAAACUCUGUUAUUAGGGAAGAACAUAUGUGUAAGUAACUGUGCACAUCUUGACGGUACCUAAUCAGAAAGCCACGGCUAACUACGUGCCAGCAGCCGCGGUAAUACGUAGGUGGCAAGCGUUAUCCGGAAUUAUUGGGCGUAAAGCGCGCGUAGGCGGUUUUUUAAGUCUGAUGUGAAAGCCCACGGCUCAACCGUGGAGGGUCAUUGGAAACUGGAAAACUUGAGUGCAGAAGAGGAAAGUGGAAUUCCAUGUGUAGCGGUGAAAUGCGCAGAGAUAUGGAGGAACACCAGUGGCGAAGGCGACUUUCUGGUCUGUAACUGACGCUGAUGUGCGAAAGCGUGGGGAUCAAACAGGAUUAGAUACCCUGGUAGUCCACGCCGUAAACGAUGAGUGCUAAGUGUUAGGUUUUUUCCGCCCCUUAGUGCUGCAGCUAACGCAUUAAGCACUCCGCCUGGGGAGUACGACCGCAAGGUUGAAACUCAAAGGAAUUGACGGGGACCCGCACAAGCGGUGGAGCAUGUGGUUUAAUUCGAAGCAACGCGAAGAACCUUACCAAAUCUUGACAUCCUUUGACAACUCUAGAGAUAGAGCCUUCCCCUUCGGGGGACAAAGUGACAGGUGGUGCAUGGUUGUCGUCAGCUCGUGUCGUGAGAUGUUGGGUUAAGUCCCGCAACGAGCGCAACCCUUAAGCUUAGUUGCCAUCAUUAAGUUGGGCACUCUAAGUUGACUGCCGGUGACAAACCGGAGGAAGGUGGGGAUGACGUCAAAUCAUCAUGCCCCUUAUGAUUUGGGCUACACACGUGCUACAAUGGACAAUACAAAGGGCAGCGAAACCGUGAGGUCAAGCAAAUCCCAUAAAGUUGUUCUCAGUUCGGAUUGUAGUCUGCAACUCGACUACAUGAAGCUGGAAUCGCUAGUAAUCGUAGAUCAGCAUGCUACGGUGAAUACGUUCCCGGGUCUUGUACACACCGCCCGUCACACCACGAGAGUUUGUA
rnacentral:rRNA from 1 species